AGCAGCCGCGGUAAUUCCAGCUCCAAUAGCGUAUAUUAAAGUUGUUGCAGUUAAAAAGCUCGUAGUUGAAUUUCGGGAUUAGUGCGCCGGUCGUGCCUUCGGUAUGUACUGGUGUUACUGGUUCCUACCUUCUGACGAACCGUCAUGUCAUUAAUUUGGUGUGGCGGGGAAUCAGGACUGUUACUUUGAAAAAAUUAGAGUGUUUAAAGCAGGCUCGCGCUUGAAUACAUUAGCAUGGAAUAAUGAAAUAGGACGUUCGAUCCUAUUUUGUUGGUUUCUAGGAUUGACGUAAUGAUUAAUAGGGAUAGUUGGGGGCAUUAGUAUUCAAUUGUCAGAGGUGAAAUUCUUGGAUUUAU
rnacentral:rRNA from 1 species